rnacentral:misc_RNA from 1 species
GAUGAAGAACGCAGCGAAAUGCGAUAAGUAAUGUGAAUUGCAGAAUUCAGUGAAUCAUCGAAUCUUUGAACGCACCUUGCGCUCCUUGGUAUUCCAAAGAGCAUGCCUGUUUGAGUAUCAUUAAAUUAUCAACUGUACCAAUUUGGUUGCAGAUUGGAUGUGGGAGAUUUUGCAGGCUUUUGAUUUCUCUUUGAGAAAACGGUCAGCUCUCCUGAAAUAUAUUAGCAGUGCCUUUGUUGGUUCAUUAGGUGUGAUAAUUUACCUACAUCUUCACAUGGUACCUUCAUUUGUGUAAAGGUCAUAUUGCUUCUAAUUGUCUUUGGACAUAAAAAAAAAAAAACAUAUAAUUGUAUGGAAAACUUGAUCUCAAAUCAGGCAGGACUACCCGCUGAACUUAAGCAUAUCAAUAAGCGGAGGA